GACGAACGCUGGCGGCGUGCUUAACACAUGCCAGUCGAACGGAAAGGCCCUGCUUUUGUGGGGUGCUCGAGUGGCGAACGGGUGAGUAACACGUGAGUAACCUGCCCUUGACUUUGGGAUAACUUCAGGAAACUGGGGCUAAUACCGGAUAGGAGCUCCUGCUGCAUGGUGGGGGUUGGAAAGUUUCGGCGGUUGGGGAUGGACUCGCGGCUUAUCAGCUUGUUGGUGGGGUAGUGGCUUACCAAGGCUUUGACGGGUAGCCGGCCUGAGAGGGUGACCGGCCACAUUGGGACUGAGAUACGGCCCAGACUCCUACGGGCGGCAGCAGUGGGGAAUAUUGCACAAUGGGCGGAAGCCUGAUGCAGCAACGCCGCGUGCGGGAUGACGGCCUUCGGGUUGUAAACCGCUUUCGCCUGUGACGAAGCGUGAGUGACGGUAAUGGGUAAAGAAGCACCGGCUAACUACGUG
rnacentral:rRNA from 1 species